CUGGCGGCGUGCCUAACACAUGCAAGUCGAACGGAAACUAGGCGCUUCGGAGACUUCGGUCAAUGUUUGCUUAGUUUAGUGGCGGACGGGUGAGUAACGCGUGGAUAACCUGCCUCGAUACAGGGGGAUAACAGUUAGAAAUGACUGCUAAUACCGCAUAAGCGCACGGGAUCGCAUGUUCCUGUAGUGAAAAAACUCCGGUGGUAUGAGAUGGAUCCGCGUCUGAUUAGCCAGUUGGCGGGGUAACGGCCCACCAAAGCGACGAUCAGUAGCCGGCCUGAGAGGGUGAACGGCCACAUUGGGACUGAGACACGGCCCAAACUCCUACGGGAGGCAGCAGUGGGGGAUAUUGCACAAUGGGGGAAACCCUGAUGCAAGCGACGCCGCGUGAGUGAAGAAGUAUUUCGGUAUGUAAAGCUCUAUCAGCAGGGAAGAUAAUGACGGUACCUGACUAAGAAGCACCGGCUAAAUACGUGCCAGCCGCCGC
rnacentral:rRNA from 1 species